GACGGAGGAUGCAAGUGUUAUCCGGAAUCACUGGGCGUAAAGCGUCUGUAGGUGGUCAAAUAAGUCAACUGUUAAAUCUUGAGGCUUAACCUCAAAAUCGCAGUCGAAACUAUUAGACUAGAGUAUAGUAGGGGUAAAGGGAAUUUCCAGUGGAGCGGUGAAAUGCGUAGAGAUUGGAAAGAACACCGAUGGCGAAGGCACUUUACUGGGCUAUUACUAACACUCAGAGACGAAAGCUAGGGGAGCAAACGGG
rnacentral:rRNA from 1 species